rnacentral:lncRNA from 1 species
AUGGCGGUGGCGGCGCUCGGCUUUGUCACCCUCCUCGCCUUCUGUUUUUUGGCGCCGGCGGCGUUGAUGUUGGGGGUACUACCACGACUCGCCGGAGCUAGUCGUCGUCGGCUCAGGUUGCUCGAGGCUCGUGGAGACGAACUCGUUCAUUGUGCAGGACAUCAAGGUGAUCAUCCUCCCGUAGCUCGGUUCUGCACGAGCUCAGUCGAAGAGUGUUUUAAU